UUAACACUAGACGUGUAAAAGCUGAAUAAGCAAGUCUUGUAAACAUUGUUUAAAGGAGAUUCUAAUAAAAGCAUUGGUGUUUGCUUGUGUAUUUGUCUCUUGAUUUAUCUUCUGCACUACCUUAUUGUGUUUGCAUCUUGCACUUACAAGUGGUAUCAGAGCGGGGCACCUAAGUUACCGGUGUUAUCCUGAAGGUGAAGAUGGACACG
rnacentral:lncRNA from 1 species